CGCGGGCGGCGGAGGCUGCUGAUGGCCUGCCGAUUUGAGCAGCAGUUCUGCGGUCCCGGGAGGGAACAAUGGGCGGAUUUCAGCCGUCCGGGCCGGGCAGCCUUCCUUUGAGGCCCCAGAGAUGCGAUAAGAGGCAAUGUCCAGGUCUUAGUCCCUGGAACCUGUGAAUAUGUUACCUUACUUGGCAAGAGGAACUUUACAGAUGGGAUUAUGUUAAGGAUCUUAAAACAAGGAGAUUAUCCUGGAUUAUCCACGUGGGCCUGGUGUCAUCACAAAGAUCCUUCUAAGUGGGAGGAAAGCUGUGCUGUGGAAGUAGGGAGGAGGAGUGAUCAUGUUCCCGCCUGGACUUCAGGACCUGGCCUGAGGACAGGUCAGAAGAGGAGGGUCUCCAUCACUAUUUUACAUUUUAAAAAAUUCUUCACAUCCCGUUAACAUUUCUCACGUACAGAGACAGCACAGUCUCUGGAGUUAGAGACAGUUUCAAGUCAUAGGUCCCCACUUAGCCGGGGUGUAACCUUGGCAAGUCACUUGGCCUGGAUGAGAUCCCACUUCAUCUGCAGAAUGUGGAAAACACCUACCCUGCAAAUCGUUGGGAAGAUAAAAAUAAUAUGUGGAAAAUAAGAAGCACUCAAAUGAUAGCUGUAUUAUUUAUAAUCAAGAAAACAGAGAGGCAGAGUGGAUUUCUCAAGUCGGGCCCCUGGUAAAUGGUGGAACCAAGACCCCGUCCUCAACCCAAGUCUUCAGUUUCUCCCCCAAAGGCCCUUCACUCCCCAGAACCUUCUGCGGCCAGGCCUGGGCCCUCCAAGGCAAAGCUUCCCCACCCG
rnacentral:lncRNA from 1 species